CGGGUGUGGAACACGUACAGAACCUUCCUUAGAGUGGGGGAUAGCCCGGAGAAAUCCGGAUUAAUACCCCAUAGUAUUAUUGAUUGGCAUCAAUUGGUAAUUAAAGAUUUAUUGCUCUAAGAUGGCUGUGCGGCUGAUUAGGUAGUUGGUGCAGGUAAAGGCUCACCAAGCCAUCGAUCAGUAACUGGUGUGAGAGCACGACCAGUCACACGGGCACUGAGACACGGGCCCGACUCCUACGGGAGGCAGCAGUAAGGAAUAUUGGUCAAUGGAGGCAACUCUGAACCAGCCAUGCCGCGUGAAGGAUGAAGGUCCUCUGGAUUGUAAACUUCUUUUAUGUGGGAAGAAAUGCCUGUUUUAUAAUGGGUUUGACGGUACCAUAGGAAUAAGCACCGGCUAACUCCGUGCCAGCAGCCGCGGUAAUACGGAGGGUGCGAGCGUUAUCCGGAUUCACUGGGUUUAAAGGGUGCGUAGGUGGGAAUGUAAGUCAGUGGUGAAAUCUCUGAGCUUAAC
rnacentral:rRNA from 1 species